rnacentral:rRNA from 1 species
UACGUAGGGAGCAAGCGUUGUCCGGAUUUACUGGGCGUAAAGGGCGCGUAGGCGGUCUGUUAAGCGUGAAGUGAAAUCUCCAGGGCUCAACCCGGAAACUGCUUUGCGAACUGGCAGACUAGAGGAAGGCAGAGGUAAAUGGAAUUCCUGGUGUAGCGGUGACAUGCAUUGAUAUCAGGAGGAACACCCGUGGCGAAGGCGGUUUACUGGGCCUUAUCUGACGCUGAGGCGCGAAAGCGUGGGUAGCAAA